CUGACAAGCUCCUCCCCUGUGAGGGUGGGUGGGACCUGUGACUCGCCUCCAGCCAAUGGGGCAUGCUAAAUGUGAUGUCACUCCCCCAAUCGGCUUCGGUUCUCCUAGGGCCCUGAAGAGUGCUUCCCUGUCGCGCUGCCCACAGACAGGGCCACGUGGAGGCUGCAGGCCAGCUCCAGGACCCAAGGGAGGCUCCAGCCCACGGCCGCCAGGAGAGGACAAGUUCCUUCCCAAGGGCCAGGACCUGCGGCAGAAAGCUGGACGUGGUGAAGACAAAUGUCGGCAGCCAGGUUAUCCCAGAAGACCCAGGCUGAGCUCAGGAGGCCUGGCCCCCACUGCCAGCAGGAUGACGGGGCUACCCAGCCUCUCCGCCUCUUCCUCUGCUUACCUGUGGAGAUAACAGUCUCUUCCUGGGUAAUCAUGAGACGAUAACAGAGAGAAGUGCUUGUAAGUAUGUGUACAGGGACUACCGUCCUGGCCCAUGUGUGCCGGGCUCGGAGCUCACACAGCCCAGACCUGGGGGUCAGGCCUGGGGUCAGGCCUGGGGAUCAGGCCUGGUAUCAACAACCCUGGGGUCAGAGGUUCAUCUGGGAGCAGAGCCAGGCUGACCCCUGGGACCCCACAGUCAAAGACCCCUGCCUUUGGAGAGUGUCCCAGCCCCAGUGGCCAUGCCAUCCCACUCCUUGGGUUCCCAGGCCUCUUUUGGAGCCCAGCUGGUGGGACCUGCAGAUGCCAGCAGGGCCAGAGGCCUCAGGCAGAGCCUGGUGUAAAAAGCCCUUGGAGCAAACACGCUC
rnacentral:lncRNA from 1 species